AGCUGUUUGGUUGGAUUUCCAUUAUGUGACUGAAACCCAGUCAUUGCGACAUAAACAUGUCUACUGGCGAGGAGAUAUACAGCUACCCCUGCACACAAAAACGAUGUUCAGAAUCACCGGGUACUUCAUAGGAAAUGUUAGACUGAUCCCGUCGAAGCAGCAACAGCAGCAGAAAACAUGGACGUUUCACAGCUGUUGUAACACAUCAGUAAGAAAGGGCAAAUGUUUGACAAUGUUCUAAGAGAUAUAUUCCAAUAUAUUUAAGGUCUGACAUGGCAGUGGCUUACCCCAGUCCAGAGUUCCGCUGUUUGUUGUGCCAGGAAAUAUACGAAAAUCCAAGAGAGUUACCUUGUGGUCACACAUUCUGCUCUCCGUGUCUGACUACUUAUAUCCAGGCUGAACACGUAUGUGCCGAUGAAGAUCGUCAUUACUUCCCGUGUCCUGUCUGUGAUAAUCCUAUUACCCCGCGGGACCCAAGCAUACACGUCAAUACCUGGGGGACUUCAUUCCCCAUAAAUCACCUGUUCCUAAACCAUACAAAACAGACAUCGGAUGAUCAAAUAUGUGAAGCAUGUCUGAGGGACUGGGAAUCCAGUUCUGCCGAGGUCUGGUGUACUGACUGUGCUGAAAUGUUGUGUAAAGAUUGCAAAACUUACCAUAAACGGAGUAAAGUUUCCAACAAACACAAACUUGUGCCCAUUGACAGAGAGUCUGGUGGAAUCAAAGGGAUAAUCGUCAACGAUAUUUGUCCGAACCACAACACGAAGCCGUUAGAUUUCUAUUGUGUGGAUCACGGAUCACUUUGUUGCAGCGACUGCCUGUCCUUGACCCAUAGA